UCGAGCGUCAUUACAACCCUCAAGCUCGGCUUGGUGUUGGGCUCGCCCCCAGUGGGCCUGCCUUAAAAUCAGUGGCGGCUACGUCCAGUCUCAAGCGCAGUAAUACUCGCCGCUUGUUAGGCUUGGGCGGCAGCCUGCUAACAACCCCCACUUUUUACAAGGUUGACCUCGGAUCAGGUAGGGAUACCCGCUGAACUUAA
rnacentral:misc_RNA from 1 species